rnacentral:rRNA from 1 species
GAUGAACGCUAGCGGCAGGCCUAACACAUGCAAGUCGAGGGGUAGAGGAAGCUUGCUUCCUUGAGACCGGCGCACGGGUGCGUAACGCGUAUGCAAUCUGCCUUGUACUGAGGGAUAGACCAGAGAAAUUUGGAUUAAUACCUCAUAGCAUUAUGAAAUCGCAUGUUAGACAUCAUAAAGUUUCAACGGUAAAAGAUGGGAAUGCGACGUAUUAGCUAGAUGGUAAGGUAACGGCUUACCAUGGCUACGAUAGGUAGGGGUCCUGAGAGAGAGAUCCCCCACACUGGUACUGAGACACGGACCAAACUCCUACGGGAGGCAGCAGUGAGGAAUAUUGGACAAUGGGCGCAAGCCUGAUCCAGCCAUGCCGCGUGCAGGAAGACGGUCCUAUGGAUUGUAAACUGCUUUUGUACGGGAAGAAACACUCCCUCGUGAGGGAGCUUGACGGUACCGUAAGGAUAGGGAUCGGCUAACUCCGUGCCAGCCGCCGCGGUAAAAC